rnacentral:rRNA from 1 species
CCCUUAGAUGUCCUGGGCCGCACGCGCGCUACACUGAGUGUCUGAGAUACGAGUCUGCCUGGUCCGGCAAGGUCUAGGUAAUCGCUAAAAGACACAUCAUGCUUGGGAUAGAUUAUUGAAAAUAUUAAUCUUGAACGAGGAAUUCCUAGUAAGCGCAAGUCAACAGCUUGCGUUGAUUACGUCCCUGCCCUUUGUACACACCGCCCGUCGCUACUACUGAUUGGAUGUUUAAGCGAGGUUCUCGAACUGCUAGCGACUUAGCUUCGGUGAGGUCGCAGUGUGGGAAGUGAACCUAGCUUUGGUGUCUAGAGGAAGUAAAAGUCGUAACA